GACGAACGCUGGCGGCGUGCUUAACACAUGCAAGUCGAACGGAACGGCCCUGCUUGCAGGGUCCUCGAGUGGCGAACGGGUGAGUAACACGUGUGUGAUCUGCCCUGCACUUCGGGAUAAGCCUGGGAAACUGGGUCUAAUACCGGAUAGGAGCCAUUUUUAGUGUGAUUGUUGGAAAGUUUUUUCGGUGUAGGAUGAGCUCGCGGCCUAUCAGCUUGUUGGUGGGGUAAUGGCCUACCAAGGCGGCGACGGGUAGCCGGCCUGAGAGGGUGGACGGCCACAGUGGGACUGGGAUACGGCCCAGGCCCCUACGGGAAGCAGCAGUGGGGAAUAUUGCACAAUGGGCGCGAGCCUGAUGCAGCGACACCGCGUGGGGGAUGACGGCCUUCGGGUUGUAAACUCCUUUCGCUAGGGACGAAGCUUUUUGUGACGGUACCUGGAUAAGAAGCACCGGCUAACUACGUG
rnacentral:rRNA from 1 species